rnacentral:rRNA from 1 species
GACGAACGCUGGCGGCGUGCUUAACACAUGCAAGUCGAACGGUGAACCUCUUCGGAGGGGUUCAGUGGCGAACGGGUGAGUAACACGUGGGCAACCUGCCCCCGGCUCUGGGAUAACUCCAAGAAAUUGGGGCUAAUACCGGAUGUUCACCGCUUCCCGCAUGGGUGGUGGUGGAAAGGGUUUCCGGCUGGGGAUGGGCCCGCGGCCUAUCAGCCUGUUGGUGGGGUAGUGGCCUACCAAGGCGACGACGGGUAGCCGGCCUGAGAGGGUGACCGGCCACACUGGGACUGAGGCACGGCCCAGACUCCUACGGGAGGCAGCAGUGGGGAAUAUUGCGCAAUGGGCGGAAGCCUGACGCAGCGACGCCGCGUGGGGGAUGACGGCCUUCGGGUUGUAAACCUCUUUCAGCAGGGACGAAGCGCAAGUGACGGUACCUGCAGAAGAAGCACCGGCCAACUACGUG